GCCCCAGUGGCUCAGCCCGGUUAGAGCGGAUGGCUGUUAACCAUCAGGUCACCAGUUCAAAUAGUUUACGACCUUGGAAGGAAACGACCAAGAAGCGGAGCUUUGAAUGUCUGGUCUGGGGCG
rnacentral:tRNA from 1 species